GGAGCUCCAGCAGGCAGAGCUCCAGCCGUUCCUCCAGUGACUGGUGUUUCAGCUUCAGGGCUCUGGUGUGGGUGGUCAGAUCCUUCACUGGAGACGUGGGGCUGUCUGGACCUGCAGAAACUGGUUUGUACUGACCUUAUAGCGGACUCAGCUCCUCUACAGCAUCUUCUCCGAGGCAGCAGUUCAGACUUUCUCCGCUCAGAUGUGAAAGCAGCGCUUUGGACAUCUGUUGAGGAGCGGCGCCACUUUCUCCACACAGGGGGAGGAGCUUUGGUUGUCCUUCACACGGACGAACUCUGGGAUCUUCUGCUCGUUCUCCCGCUGCCUGAUCUCCUCCUGCUCGUACUGGAAAAUACACAUCAGGUAAUCAACUUUAAGCCAAUCAGUGACACCCACAGUUUACUCUAGCAACAUUUCCAUUUCUGAGUUUUAUAAAGAGUGACUCUAAAUGUUGUUUAUGGAUGUUUAUCUGACCUUUUAAGAACUAGGGUGGAUAAAAUCUUGACGAUAAGUGGCCAUAAACAUGGGUGUAAACAGUUCUGGUCCUUGGUAUCUUUUUAUUUACCUGAACUUGUUUGUGUUUUAUUGAUAUUUUAUGUCAGGGCAGGUUCUUGAUGAUGUUAUACUGUGGUGCAAAGAAGCUUUCCUUCACCGAGUUUCCGGUUGACAGGACACUGACGAAGUUCUUCUGCUACCUUUAUUCAGUCAAUGAUUUCGUUUUCUAUAACAUGCUGGUAUGGAAAUCUUGGCAACAAAGACAAGAACUCCCUCAGGAGGAUAGUAAAAGUAGUCUCUAAAGUAGCUAGGGUGUGUUUGAACAGUCUUGAAGACAUUUUUAAUACACAAGUUUAAAGGAAAGCUGAGUCUAUUCUUCAUCCUCUUAAUCAGGAAUAUAAGUCGCUCCUCUCCAAUCUUCGUCUGGCAGGACUCCAGGCCACAAAAGCACGUACAAGUUCUCCUCUGUGCCUAUUUCUUUCCAAGCUAUAAACACUGAGAAGAGGGUGUUUUGAGGCUGUACUUUAUUACUUACUGUGCUGCUCUUCAUCCUGUUUUUAUUUACUUUAUUAUGUCUUGCUGCUCCUGACUAAGCAACUGUUUGCGCUAAACUACACCUGAGACAAAACUAAAUGACCAAUAUUGCUGCUAAUGUCCCUGUCUAUCUUAUGUUUCAUGUGAUAUUUUAUUGUUUUUAUUAAUUUAUUUUGUUCUGUACAUUUCUUCUUAUUUGUUUUUGUUGUCUGUUUAUUGUGAACACUUGUAAAACUGCCACAUAACAAACCCCCCUUCAAGGGACAAAUAAUAAAGUUGUGAUGU